UGAGGAAUAUUGGGCAAUGCCCGCAAGGGUGACCCAGCAACGCCGCGUGGAGGAUGAAUGUCGUAAGAUUGUAAACUCCUGUUAGAGGGGAAGAAUAGUACCGGUUGGACCGGUAUAUGACUGUACCCUCAGAGAAAGCCCCGGCUAACUACGUGCCAGCAGCCGCGGUAAUACGUAGGGGGCAAGCGUUGUCCGGAUUUACUGGGUGUAAAGGGCGCGCAGGCGGGAUAAAAAGUCAGUGGUGAAAUCCUACAGCUUAACUGUAGAACUGCCUUUGAUACUUUUAUUCUUGAGUUCGGGAGAGAGAGACGGAAUUCCAGGUGUAGUGGUGAAAUACGUAGAUAUCUGGAAGAACACCAGUUGCGAAGGCGGUCUCUUGGUCCGACACUGACGCUGAGGCGCGGAAGCGUGGGGAGCAAAC
rnacentral:rRNA from 1 species